AACGCACAUUGCGCCCACUGGCAUUCCGGGGGGCAUGCCUGUCCGAGCGUCAUGACUGCCCUCAAGCACGGCUUGUGUGUUGGGCCGCCGUCCCCCCCCCUGACCGGGGGGACGGGCCCGAAAGGCAGCGGCGGUACCGCGUCCGGUUCUCGAGCGUAUGGGGCUUCGUCACCCGCUCCGUGGGACCGGCCGGCGUCCGGCCGACGUUCUUCCAACCCCCCCCAAGGUUGACCUCGGAUCAGGUAGGGAUACCCGCUGAACUUAA
rnacentral:misc_RNA from 1 species